UACGUAGGGGGCUAGCGUUGUCCGGAAUCAUUGGGCGUAAAGCGCGCGUAGGCGGCCCGGUAAGUCCGCUGUGAAAGUCGGGGGCUCAACCCUCGGAUGCCGGUGGAUACUGUCGGGCUUGAGUACGGAAGAGGCGAGUGGAAUUCCCGGUGUAGCGGUGAAAUGCGCAGAUAUCAGGAGGAACACCGGUGGCGAAGGCGGGUCUCUGGGCAACUACUGACGCUGAGGAGCGAAAGCGUGGGGAGCGAACAGG
rnacentral:rRNA from 1 species